rnacentral:siRNA from 1 species
UGACUUAGAGGCGUUCAGUCAU